AGUUGAUCGUGUUUAUGACGUCGAUAUUCGACGUCAUAAACACUUUCAAACUUGAUGGUGUUUAUGACGUCGAAAAUCGACGUCAUAAACACCA
rnacentral:miRNA from 1 species